rnacentral:rRNA from 1 species
GCUAGUAAUGGCAGGCCAGCAUACUGCCGUGAAUACGUUCCCGGGCCUUGUACACACCGCCCGUCACACCAUGAGAGUUGGGAAUACCCGAAGCCUGUGAGCUAACAUUAAGAGGCAGCAGUCGAAGGUAGAAUCAAUGAUUGGGGUGAAGUCGUAACAAGGUACC